rnacentral:sRNA from 1 species
CACUACAUUCCAGUAAUGAAGAGGAAGACCCUUUCCGUGGAAUGGAACCCUAUCUUGUCCGGAGACUUUCAUGUCGCAAUAUUCAGCUUCCCCCUCUCGCCUUCAGACAGUUGGAACAAGCUGACUUGAAAAGUGAAUCAGAGAACAUUCAACGACCAACCAGCCUCCCCCUGAAGAUUCUGCCGCUGAUUGCUAUCACUUCUGCAGAAUCCAGUGGGCUUUCCAGAUGCCUGAAGAUAAAAUACAAACUCUCCAACAAGACCUUUUGGCCAUCAGGAACGCAGCACCUGGCUCUCUCACUACUGUUACCCUAGCAUGACUGCUUCAGCAAAGAGAUAAGAGCUUCUUUGACUUUUUCCACUGGAAUUUUUCAUGCCAGAAGAAAUUGAACAUGUGAGCCUGGUGUCUGGAAGAGUAGCCUGGAUUUAUGGUAUCAGAUGCACAUUUUUAACACCUUCAGUUUUCUCUUUGAAAUAUCUCUUCAAUCCCUUACUUUUCUCUAUUUGUUUCAACAUUAAAAUAUGUUAUUUUUCUUC